UACGUAGGGUGCGAGCGUUGUCCGGAAUUAUUGGGCGUAAAGGGCUCGUAGGCGGUGUGUCGCGUCGGCCGUGAAAACCUGCAGCUUAACUGUGGGCUUGCGGUCGAUACGGGCAUCACUGGAGUUCGGCAGGGGAGACUGGAAUUCCUGGUGUAGCGGUGAAAUGCGCAGAUAUCAGGAGGAACACCGGUGGCGAAGGCGGUUCUCUGGGCAUGUCCUGACGCUGAGGAGCGAAAGUGUGGGGAGCGAACAGG
rnacentral:rRNA from 1 species